ensembl:lncRNA
UGUGUGUAGGCGUGUGUGUGUUGGCUAGUGUGUGUUAAUGUGUGUAGGCGUGUGUGUGUCAGCGUGUGUUGGCUAGUGUGUGUUAAUGUGUGUAGGCGUGUGUGUGUCAGCGUGUAUUGGCUAGCGUGUGUUAAUGUGUGUAUAAAUAGCUGCUACAUCUGGAUUCAUGCAUCUUUAAUGACUCUUCAUGAAUAUAAUCGUCGUCUCCUCUGUCUCUGCUCCUCUACACACUCCUGAUUUCUCCUCUUUGUCUUUCCAUCGUUACUUCAUCUUCUGUUUCAUUCUUCAAGUCUUUUCUUCUCCACUGAAUGUUGGAUUCGGUUCUUUCUGACUGAUGAAGACCAUGUUGUGAGGUUGAAAUCUCCAGAGCUCUGCAGGUUUCUGGGUCAUUUAUCUAUGAAUUAUUGGUCUUUAUUGAUCACUUUAAUCAUUAACAGUUUAUUGUCUAAUCAGCUGUUAGUUACAACAAUAAAAACUUUAAGAUAAUCUGAUUCGACCUCAGAGUUUAGAGUCGUCCGAUCCAGGAGUUUAGCUGAUCGGCAUCGAGCCUCAACUAAAUUCUUAGUUUACAUCAGCUGGUGUUCGGAGGAGCUUCAGGAGAAACCAGGCGGACUUCUUGGGAAGACGUUUUCUAGAAAUGUCUUCCAGAUUGCAUUUAAAAAGUGGAACAUUUCAGGUCAUUAACCUUCUCAGAAGUCUUUGUCAUGGUGCCUGUUGCUGCUAAACUCCCACAGUGCUCUCUGCUUUAACUGUAGUCUGAGUGACGCCUCAUCUGGUUUCUAUAGGAUUAAACAGGAAGAGGCUCCACCUGGUGGAACAACCAGGAACUACAGCUGAUCUACAUUUACUGACAUCAUGGAGAGAAAACAGGUUUACUGCAGUACAUCCUAUCAUCUAGUACUACAUUUACCCUCUAGUACUGCAUUCAGACAGUGUCCUACUGGAACUUUACAAGGUUCCACCUACAGAACGAGCAGAUAGACUGAGUUAAUUUACAUAAACUUUAAUCAAAGUGUGUAUUAUCAGUAGUUGGGCCUCGGUAUCAACAGAUGGUGGAUAUUAAAUGAUUUAUAUCCGAUCAGGACGGUCCUACUCCUGCCUCCCUUCCAGAUUAAAGGCUGUGGUUCUCUGCUGAUCUGAGGUCAGUUAACUCUCCUUAUUAAAGCAUCGUGUCCCAGCAUGCUUCACUGUGACGUCUGGACUCUGGAUGUGACACUAAAGUUGGAAACUCAUGACGUCUAAUUUUCCUGAAUUCACAUUAAAGUCAAGUUUAUCUUGAGUUUGUUUCUGGACAGAAACUCUGAGACCAAACCAGAUGUGGGUUCAUGUCGAAUGUUUUCUUUCUGUCUGAUCUCCGUCUGAAUGUUCCGUAUUUGGAUGAAGUUAAACAUUCAGGACUCGGCAUCAACGCCUCAAACUAAAAAUCCACGUUUUUCUUUUUUUCCUCUGAGGAAGGAAACGUUUGUUUCUCCUCGAAAACGUUCCAGAUCUGGGAAUGUUUGGGUUGAAGAUCAGUGGCUCUGAACAGGACUGAAGCCAGGAGGGCGGCGCUUCCUCACGGCAGACUCACCUGAGGACACCUGAGGAUGAAUGUACUGUGGAACGAAGCUGUUUCAGCAUGACGUUCAGGUGAUUGUAGCCCCGCCUCCCUGCUCUCCACCCACAGGUGCUGCUCGCCGCUGUUUGUUCCAUAGCAGAGAAAGACUGUUAAACUUUACUGAUUUUAUUUUCUCAAUUUGUAAACCAAUGUAUAUUUUAAAACAAAUAAAAUAUUUUAAACUUAA